AUCUACACCAAGACACACACAUCGACGAAUCAGCGACUAGCUACAAACCGCAAGUAGGGAACUAGGGUAGAUUGUAAGUGAAUAAAGUUUAGUUCUGUAUUAACAUCAAGAGAAGAAAGUUAUAAUUUGCAAAGUGGCGCCCACGGGCUAGGAACUAACUAACCUGGAAAUUCCCGCUACAGCAAGGAUACUAACUGGAAGGACACAAGACAGCCAGCAGUAACAGGAUAUUAACUGGAAGGACACAAGACAGCAAGCAGUAACAGGAUAUUGACUGGAAGGACACAAGGAGAACCUGCUUUAAUACUAUACUACAAUGCAAAUACUACUGCACCUGCCACGCCCACGAGGGCUUACGAAUCAGUGAUCCGCUUCGAGUAGCAAUUUCGAGUUUCUAGCCAGCACGUUGCAAACCAACGCAUAGGAACCAGUAAGCCAAUACAAGCGAAGCAAUUAUAUGUUUCAUGAAAAGCUGUUCAUUAGGAAAGCUUGUUUAAAAUAUACGCAACCAAGAUUUGGUUAAAAAAAAUGCACAUGACAAUGAGUUGAACAUUAAGCAGAAAAGUGUAUAUGUACAUAUUAGGGAUGUUGCGAAUGUGGAAUUUUAGACAUCCGCGG
rnacentral:misc_RNA from 1 species